AUACGUAGGGGGCAAGCGUUAUCCGGAUUUACUGGGUGUAAAGGGAGCGUAGACGGAAUGGCAAGUCUGAUGUGAAAGGCCGGGGCUCAACCCCGGGACUGCAUUGGAAACUGUCAGGCUAGAGUGCAGGAGGGGUAAGCGGAAUUCCUAGUGUAGCGGUGAAAUGCGUAGAUAUUAGGAGGAACACCGGUGGCGAAGGCGGCCUGCUGGACGACAACUGACGCUGAGGCGCGAAAGCGUGGGGAGCAAACAGGAUUAGAUACCCUGGUAGUCCACGCUGUAAACGAUGAAUACUAGGUGUGGGGGGACUGACCCCCUCCGUGCCGCAGUUAACACAAUAAGUAUUCCACCUGGGGAGUACGAUCGCAAGAUUGAAACUCAAAUGAAUUGGCGGGG
rnacentral:rRNA from 1 species